rnacentral:rRNA from 1 species
CUUACCGGGUCCGGACACACUGAGGAUUGACAGGCGUUUACUGUGUUUUGGGAUUUCGUGGCACCUUCGGGUGUUGUGUUAUGUUCAUUUCCAGUAUAGCAAAUAUGCUAGUCCUUUCAUGAUUGUGUGAUAGGUGGUGCAUGGCCGUUCUUAGUUCGUGGAGUGAUCUGUCUGCUUAAUUGCGUUUCACAUUAAGAACGAAAGAGUCCCGCCUGUGUUUGUGGUACGCCACGAAUACGGCUUUUAUGUGGAUUUCUACAACGUUCUGAAGGCAACGAACGUGACCGCAACCUCUAGUUGCCCGCUUUUUUGCUUCGGUCAUCCCUUUACGGGGGUGUACUGGGCAAUACCACGCGGCGCUAACUAGAGGGACCGCUAGUAACUUUCAAACAGAGGAAGGUUGCGGCAAUAACAGGUCUGUGAUGCCCUUAGAUGUUCCGGGCUGCACACGUGCUACAACGAUUGUUGCAGUAAGCAUCUCUCCCAUUGUAUGUCCUCCCUCUUCAACUGGCUUUCGGGUCGGUGAGGGUAGUGACACCACUUUACCGUUUCACCUUGCUUUGUGUUGUUGAUUUGCUUCGACUUUCGGGUCGUUGUUAGAUUAGCGAUCGUUGCUUGCUGUGAACUGUGUUUAGUGUCGACCUACUUCGAAAGUGUUUAGGCAAUCACUUAGAAGUAACAACCCAAUUUCCCGCCACUUUAUACAUCUCUUGCUCCGCUCCUAUCUAGUCACUUCGGUGUACUUCGGAUGGGUUUACAUGUGGACUUGAUGAUGUUGCGCUCCAUAAAUUCGUUGUGGGGACAGACCAUUGCUAAUUGUUGGUCUCGGUCUCAACUAGAAAUGCCUUGUAGAUGUGGUUCAACAAACCGCAUCGAAUAUGUCCCUGCCUUUUGUACACACCGCCCGUCGCUCUUACCGAUGGACUUCGCUGCGAGUUUGAGGGACUGGCAAUUAUGCUGUUUGAGGGCCUUCGGGCUUUCCUCUCUCAGUUUGCUAUGGAAACUUAAACGAACAGUGUGGUCUAAAGGAAAGAGAAGUCGUAACAAGGCAUCUGUAGGUGAACC